rnacentral:rRNA from 1 species
GGCGGACGGGUGAGGAAUACAUGGGAAUCUGCCCUGUCGUGGGGGAUAACGUAGGGAAACUUACGCUAAUACCGCAUACGACCGGAAGGUGAGAGCGGCGGACCGCAAGGCGUCGCGCGACUGGAUGAGCCCAUGUCGGAUUAGCUAGUUGGCGGGGUAAAGGCCCACCAAGGCGACGAUCCGUAGCUGGUCUGAGAGGAUGAUCAGCCACACUGGAACUGAGACACGGUCCAGACUCCUACGGGAGGCAGCAGUGGGGAAUAUUGGACAAUGGGCGCAAGCCUGAUCCAGCCAUGCCGCGUGAGUGAAGAAGGCCUUCGGGUUGUAAAGCUCUUUUGUCCGGAAAGAAAAGCCUUCGGUUAAUACCCGGGGGUUCUGACGGUACCGGAAGAAUAAGCACCGGCUAACUUCGUGCCAGCCGCC